rnacentral:miRNA from 2 species
GAUGAGCUCAUUGUAAUAUGAG